rnacentral:rRNA from 1 species
UACGUAGGGUGCAAGCGUUAAUCGGAAUUACUGGGCGUAAAGCGUGCGCAGGCGGUUAUGUAAGACAGAUGUGAAAUGCCCGGGCUUAACCUGGGAACUGCAUUUGUGACUGCAUGGCUAGAGUGUGUCAGAGGGGGGUAGAAUUCCACGUGUAGCAGUGAAAUGGCGUAGAUAUGUGGAGGAAUACCGAUGGGCGAAGGCAGCCCCCUGGGAUAACACUGACGCUCAUGGCACGAAAGCGUGGGGAGCAAACAGG